rnacentral:rRNA from 1 species
AGAGUUUGAUCCUGGCUCAGGAUGAACGCUAGCUACAGGCUUAACACAUGCAAGUCGAGGGGCAGCAUGAUUGAAGCUUGCUUCAAUUGAUGGCGACCGGCGCACGGGUGAGUAACGCGUAUCCAACCUGCCCUUUACUCCGGGAUAGUCUCCUGAAAGGGAGUUUAAUACCGGAUGUGUUUGUCUUUCCGCAUGGGAGCGACAAAUAAAGAUUAAUUGGUAAAGGAUGGGGAUGCGUCCCAUUAGCUUGUUGGCGGGGUAACGGCCCACCAAGGCGACGAUGGGUAGGGGUUCUGAGAGGAAGGUCCCCCACAUUGGAACUGAGACACGGUCCAAACUCCUACGGGAGGCAGCAGUGAGGAAUAUUGGUCAAUGGGCGGGAGCCUGAACCAGCCAAGUAGCGUGAAGGACGACGGCCCUACGGGUUGUAAACUUCUUUUAUAAGGGAAUAAAGUUCGCCACGUGUGGUGUUUUGUAUGUACCUUAUGAAUAAGCAUCGGCUAAUUCCGUGCCAGCAGCCGCGGUAAUACGGAAGAUGCGAGCGUUAUCCGGAUUUAUUGGGUUUAAAGGGAGCGUAGGCGGGCUUUUAAGUCAGCGGUCAAAUGUCGUGGCUCAACCAUGUCAAGCCGUUGAAACUGUAAGCCUUGAGUCUGCACAGGGCACAUGGAAUUCGUGGUGUAGCGGUGAAAUGCUUAGAUAUCACGAAGAACUCCGAUCGCGAAGGCAUUGUGCCGGGGCAUAACUGACGCUGAGGCUCGAAAGUGCGGGUAUCAAACAGGAUUAGAUACCCUGGUAGUCCGCACGGUAAACGAUGAAUGCUCGCUAUGGGCGAUAUAUUGUCCGUGGCCAAGCGAAAGCGU